rnacentral:rRNA from 1 species
AUGCCUCCUCCCCUUCGCCUCCUCGCCCUCCUCCUCCUCCUCCACCUCCCCUUCGCCCUCUCCUCCCGCCACCACCACAAAGCCCCGGCGCCGCCGCCCCGGAAGGCGCCUCCUCCGGCGGCCAACUACGCGGCGCCGCUCCCCGUCCUCCUCGCCUGCAACGCCACCCGCUUCCGGCCCGCCUGCGUCGCCACGCUCUCCGCCGCCAACGUCACCGCCGCGUCCUCCCCCUCCGACCUCCUCGCCGCCACGCUCUCCGCGCUCCGCGCCCGCCUCCCGCCGGCCGUCUCCACCGCGCGCUCCGUCCUCGCCUCCUCCAAGAACGUCAACCUCACCGCCGCCGCCACCAACUGCCUCACCGCCCUCUCCCUCUCCUCGAACCGCCUCGCGCCGCCGCCCUCGCCGUCGGCGCUCAUGCCCGCCUCCGCCUCGCUCCUCCACCUCUACGACUGCUGGUCCGCCUACAAGUACGUCAACUUCUCCCGGACCAUCUACGACGCCAUGGCCUACCUCAACGACACCAUCACCGUCAACAGCAACUACAUCUCCAUGCUCGCCGCGCUGAAGCGGUACGGCGACGACACGUCCCACUGGGCGCCGCCGCAGACGGAGCGCGACGGGUACUGGCCUUCGCCCGCGGCGUCGGGCGGCGACGUGGACGCGCUCGGCGUGCCCAAGGGGCUCCCCGCGGACGCGACGGUGUGCGGCGCCGGGUGCGACUACAAGACGGUGCGGGAGGCGGUGGCGGCCGCGCCGGACAACGGGGGCAAGAGGUUCGUGGUGUACGUGAAGCAGGGCGUGUACAAGGAGACGGUGAGCGUGCCGUGGGAGAAGACCAACCUGGUGCUGGUCGGCGACGGCAUGGGGAAGACGGUCAUCACCGGCGACCUCAACGCCGACACGCCCGGCGUGUCCACGUUCAACACGGCCACCGUAGGCGUGCUCGCGGACGGCUUCAUGGCGCGGGACCUGACGAUCGCGAACACGGCGGGGCCGGACGCGCACCAGGCGGUGGCGUUCCGCUCGACGGGCGACCGCACGGUGCUGGACACGGUGGAGCUGCUGGGGCACCAGGACACGCUGUACGUGCACGCCAUGCGCCAGUUCUACACCCGCUGCCGCGUGGCCGGCACGGUGGACUUCGUCUUCGGCAACUCGGCGGCCGUGCUCCACGACAGCGACCUCGUCGUGCUGCCCCGGCAGCUGCGGCCGGAGAAGGGCGAGACGGACGCGCUGACGGCGCAGGGCCGCACCGACCCGGCGCAGCCCACGGGGAUCGUGCUCCGGGGCUGCCGCGUCAACGGCAGCGACGAGUACAUGGGGUUCUACCGGCAGAAGCCCGGCGUCCACCACGUGUUCCUGGGCCGGCCCUGGAAGGAGUACUCCCGCACGGUGUUCGUCGGGUGCACGAUGGCCGAGAUCGUGCGGCCCGAGGGGUGGAUGCCCUGGAGCGGCGACUUCGCGCUCAAGACGCUCUACUACGGGGAGUAUGAUAGCGCUGGCCCUGGCGCCGGCGGGCGGAGCGGCGGCGGCAGGGUGGCGUGGAGCAGCCAGGUGCCCAAGGAGCGCGUCGACGUGUACAGCGUCGCCAGCUUCAUACAGGGGGACGAGUGGAUACCCAAAGUGAAGUAG